rnacentral:lncRNA from 1 species
UGCACAAGGUAAUUAUAUGAUAACACCUUGUAAUUUUUCAAUUUAUGAUUCUACCACUUGGGUAUUGGAUACAGGAAGUCCAAUUAAUAUUUGCAAUUCAUUGCAGGGACUUCAAGUUAGCAGAAGAUUCCAGAAUGACGAGAGAUUCCUGAACGUUGGAGAUGGAAGAUCAGUUCCAGUCCUAGCUUUAGGAGUCAUUCAGCUUGUUUUUGAAUCUAGAGUAGUCAUAUUAGAUGAUUGUCAUUAUUGUCCAAUAUUUUAAUGAAUGUCAUCUCUGUAGGCCUUUUUAGCCAAAAAUGGUUAUUGUUUAUCAAUAAAAGAAAAUUUUUGUGAUAUCAUUUUGAAUGGUAUUAAAAUUUUUCGUGGACAAUUGAAAUAUGGCAUUUAUACUCUAU